rnacentral:rRNA from 1 species
GACGAACGCUGGCGGCGUGCUUAACACAUGCAAGUCGAACGGAAAGGCCCUGCUUUUGUGGGGUGCUCGAGUGGCGAACGGGUGAGUAACACGUGAGUAACCUGCCCUUGACUUUGGGAUAACUUCAGGAAACUGGGGCUAAUACCGGAUAGGAGCUCCUGCUGCAUGGUGGGGGUUGGAAAGUUUCGGCGGAUGGGGAUGGACGCGCGGCUUAUCAGCUUGUUGGUGGGGUAGUGGCUUACCAAGGCUUUGACGGGUAGCCGGCCUGAGAGGGUGACCGGCCACAUUGGGACUGAGAUACGGCCCAGACUCCUACGGGAGGCAGCAGUGGGGAAUAUUGCACAAUGGGCGGAAGCCUGAUGCAGCAACGCCGCGUGCGGGAUGACGGCCUUCGGGUUGUAAACCGCUUUCGCCUGUGACGAAGCGUGAGUGACGGUAAUGGGUAAAGAAGCACCGGCUAACUACGUG